UCCUCUUUGAAUCAAAUUGCUGAGAAAUCUUUUUUCUUACCAAUUUUCUUAAGGUUCUUUUAAUAUCUUGUGACAGCAUUUUGUUGGCUUAGGUUUUCCAAUCGUACUGCGGCAUGGGAGCGCUUUCUCUCUGACUCUCUCAAUCCACCGACGACUCCAAACCCUACGCUACUCAAAGGUCCAUCAAUUGGAAAGUUUAACUAUUAGUUCUUGAGAGAAAUAAUGUCUGGAAGAAAUCGCGGACCGCCUCAUGCUGGACUACCCCCUGCGGUCCAUGAACCGCCAUUUGGCAGAGGUGUCGGACCAAUACCCCAUCCAGUUCUACUCGAGGAGAUGAGAGAAUCGCAGUUUGGAAUGGGUGGUCCUAGACCUCUCCCUCCACAUCCUGCAAUAAUUCGGGAGGGUCUUGAUGCUCAGUAUCAAGACAUUCAGGGGCUCUUAGUCGAUAACCAGAGGCUAGCUGCUACCCAUGUUGCUCUUAAGCAGGAACUGGAAGCUACCCAGCAUGAGUUGCAAAGAAUGGGUCGCUUUGCAGAUUCCUUUCGGGCAGAGAAGGACGGUCAGAUGAGAGAAUUGUAUGAGAAGUCUGUUCAUUUGGAGGUGGAUCUUCGCGGGGUGGAGGCCAUGCGUGCUGAGCUUCUUCAAGUUCGUGCAGAUAUUAAAGACCUUAGUGUUGGAAGGCAGGAGCUAGGCGGUCAGGUACAAGCAAUGACACAAGAUAUGGCUAGACUUACAGCAGACUUGCAACAGGCACCAGCUUUAAGAGCGGAAAUUGAGACUAUGAAGCAGGAGUUGCAGCGUGCAAAAGCUGCCAUUGAGUAUGAGAAGAAAGGAUAUGCAGAGAAUUAUGAACAUGGUCAAUUGAUGGAGAAGAAAUUGCUCUCAAUGGCUCGAGAGUUGGAGAAGCUUCGUGCAGAGAUUGCUAAUGCAGAGAAGAGAGCUCGUGCUGCUGCUGCUGUUGGGAAUCCAGGGACAGGCUACAAUGUGAAUUAUGGCAAUCCGGAAGCAGGUUAUGCAGGAAAUAUUUAUCCUAUUAGCUAUGGCUUGAAUCCAGCACAGGCUGCUGCAGAAAAUUUCCCUCAUUAUGGGCCCACUCCUGGUUCCUGGAGUGCCUAUGAAAUACAACGCACUCAAGGACACAGAUAGAUUUUUUCUCGACGCUAUCAUGCCAAGCUGUGUUCUAACUGGUAUCUUGGCCUGCUACUUAUUAGAUACUUAGGUUUACAACCCAUUGUCUCUACAAAUCUUCUCCUCCUGCAAUCCAUCCAUCAAUGAGGGUGUUAUCCUUUAAAGCGCUGGCCGUUAACGGGGCGGGGCUCCUUCACUAAGAUCAAUGGCCUGGCUGGAUGAGACCACCAGGUGUAUACAAGUUUGUUUCCUGAGACGUAAUUCGUUAUACUGCAAAGGGGUUUUGAUCCAGCCUUCUCAAAUGUCUCGCUCUUGGUGUCCUCACCUCUACAAUUUGCAAACUAAUAAUUUUAUUCUUUUGGAUUCAUUUCGUAAAUGAAAACAAAGCCUAUUAUUAUUGGAAAAGUAAGCCUCACGUACUCAAUUUCAUUUGGACCCAACAAUAAAAAGAAAAAGCAUGUGCCGUGGUCCUUGUGUUACAUGUAAUAGAGGGGCUUUUUAUUUUUUUAUUUUUUUAUUUAUUUUAGUUUUAAAUAGAGGCGUUUGAGUACAUGUUAAACAUAAUCUCUCUCUUAUUUAAGCAAAUCAAAUACAAGCAAAAGUAAAUUAAUAUUUCUUUA